CUUCCAAUGGUGAUAUAACUAGCCCGAUGACCUUAAAUUUAUAACAAAGAAUCUAAAAAGCCAUUAUGUUCACGGACCAAAAAUUAAAAUAGAGGCAUUAUCUUCAAGGUCACUCAAAGCUGAGUUUAACAAAUUCGGUUUCCCCUCGGCAAUCACAAAUGAACAAAGUAAGCACCAAUCAAACUAGUAUCAAACUUAUGUGACUCCUAUUUCUGCCAACUGUACGGGAAAUAUUUAAACUCUGUAUUCAUCUAGCACUAUGGAUUUUGUAACUAGUCAUUAUCUCCUUCAUUAAUAAGCAGUUAGUGAUAAAAUCAGAUCACAUCAUCUGUGCAGUUAAUUACAAACCGGAAAAUAUUCAGGGUAUACAAAUUUUAUUAGCAUGGCUGACAUCUGUCAACUAUUUUGGUUAAUUACUUCUGAAUUUGGAUUCUCGCCUUCAACUAUUUGAAAUUUAAUACAUUUGAUAUAAAGGGUUUUCAAGCUACCAUUAUUUCUGUUCAGUAUUUUUGUCUUAUUCCUAUUCUAAAAUUUUCAGAAAUAAGUCGUCAGCUCUUAGACUGACAUAGUUUAAACUGUUAAUUGGCAGAAAACUAUCUACCGCAUGGUUCAUUUUUUUGGUCAAUGUUCAUGAAAUACUCUCAGCAUUACCAUAUAGGACAGAAAAUAUUGUGAACUCUAAAUUACAUGUUAAGGAUAUCGCUCCACAACUUCACAGAGCAGGAAAAAGCAUUUGGCUUUUUAUUUUUAUAGGUUGGAUGUGGAUAGGUGGGUUGGUUGCUGUGUAAGUAAACGUGGUUGCCAGCCCUCCUCUAAUCUAUAAGUCAUUCGAGGGCAGCCUUCUUGGAAGAAAUUAGUUUUGCACUGAAAGAGAAGGCUGACUGAGGUGAAAAGAAAACAUCAAAAAAGUAAGAGGGAAUUCAAGAGGUGAGCAGAACAAAUAAUUGACAAAGUAAAGCAAAAGCCGUUCACUGAACACACAGUUCACAUUUGCACAGUAGUCAGUGGCAACGAGAACAGACAAAAGGAACGAUAAAAAGUGGAAGAAAUAUAUUAUGCUAAAAACACACAAUGUACCCAGCACACCAAUCCCAGGUGUUUACUUUUAAUCUCUCCAUGCUACGAUUAGACAAUUUUCUGAAUCCUGCAAAGAAAAGAGGCAUAGAGAUACCGACUCCCCAGAUGUGCAAAGGCAUAAUGGUAAUUUGAAUCCAGGCAGGCUAACUUCAUCCUCUCAAGCACAACACUACCCUAGUUCCAAAGGAUGUGUUCUCCCGAGAGCAAAGUAUAGACCCACGGUCAAUGACAACGGGGGUCUGACUCGUCCUUGAAGAACUGGUGCUUCCUCUGCAGUGACCCAUCACCCGUCCACUGUCAUCUUCACGUAACUGAACAAGCAGGGCUGCGGGUAGCAGCUGUGGUCGUGAUAAACAGCCCCACCGCCCCAGUCAAAGCUUAGCAUCAUCACCAAAAUCAGCACUGCUGCAGAAAGAUGUGAGGCCCCAAUACGAAAGGGUAUAUUCUCUAAAAGGUAUGGUUAUCAAAACACCUGUUGGAACUGACCUCUGUCUUUCACAACUAGAAUUAUGUUGCUCCUAUUAAUAAUGGCUUAGUAUUUGUUGCACGUGUUCCUCUGCCAUUCCUAAAGGAAAUUCCCAAGGAGGCUAAGGGAGGAUGUGAAUACUCUUGGAUCUCUGGCUUAAAACGCCUCCCCAUCUUACCCCAAAUGCCCACCAUCUGGUGUGGUUAUCAGCAGGCUGAGGGAUGUAUCUACUUACCACUGAGUGCCAUCUGUGGGACAAGGAUGCUUGUGGAGGUCUUGAGGUUCUUACUGAGUAAGACAUCCAAUAUUUAGACAUGAUUUUGUGGAGACACAGUCAAGCAGAUCAAGCAAAAAGAUCAAUUCCCAUACAAAUCAAAACCACAAUGAGCUGUCACCUCACCUCUGUCCAAAUGGUCAUCAUUAACAAGUAACAGGUGAUGGUGAGGAGGCAGAAAAAGGGAACCCUUAUGCACCGUUGCUGGGAAUGUAAACAGAUGCAGCCGCUAUGGAAAGCAGCAAAGUUCCUCAAAAAAAUUAAAAAAAUUAGAACUAUCAUACCAUCCAGCAACUCCACUCCUGGUUAUUUAUCCAAAGAAAAUGGAAACACUAAUUUGAAAUGAUAUCUGUGCCUCCACAUUCGCUGAAGCACUACAACAGCCAAGACAUGGAAGCAACCUAAAUCCUUCAAUAAGUAAAUGAAUAAAGAAUGUAGCAUUACUCAUCCAUAAAAAAAAAAAAGACAUCUUGGCAUCUGUAACAACUUGGAUGGACCCAGAGAGCAUUAUGCUAAGUGAAAUAAAUCAGAGAAAGGUAAAUACUAGCCGAUUUCAAUGAUACAUGAAAUCUGAAAAUAAGACAAACAUAAUACAACAGAAAGAGUUACGCAUACAGAGAACAAACAGGUGAUUGCCGGGGAGGGGGAGGGAGAUGAGAAAGUACAAACUUGCGGUUUUAAAAUAAAUGUCAUGGGCAUGAAAUGUUUGGUGCAGGGACUAUAGCCAAUGAUAAUACUUUUGUGUGGUGACACACGGUAACUAGACUUAGCGUGCUGAUCGUUGUGAAAUGGACAGAAAUACCCAAUCGCUGUUAUGUAUGAGGGACUAUGUUAUUUACAUACAUAGUGCCAUAGGUCAAUUACACUUCAAAACAAACAAACAUCGAAAAUGACACCAGAUCCACGGUUAUCAAAGGCUGGGGAAAGGGUUCCGGGGGGAGGGGAGUUGGAGGAGGGCCGUCAAAAGGUACAAACUUCCAGGUGUAAGUUAAUUAAGUACUAGGGAUAUAAGAUAGAGCAUGAUAAAUAGCAUUAACAUGCUGGAUGCUAUACAUGAAAGUUCUUCGAGUAAAUCCUAGCACGUCUAACCACACGGAAAAAAUAUUUUUUCUAUUUCUUUAGUUUUGUACGUAUAUGAGAUGAUAGAUACUGACUAACCUUUUUGUCAUCAUUGCAUAAUGUAUUAAGUCAUUAUCCUACACACCUUAAACUUACAUAGUAUUAUAUGUCAAUUGUGUCUCAACAAAAUGGGGGGGGGAAAGAGACCACUUCCCAGCAUCCUGUUUAAUCUGUAAGGCACCCUAAGUAUUCCUUUUGCUGUGUCUCCUGAUCAGUGAUCCACAGUAGUUUAUUUUUUAAACCCAGGUAAUAAUUUUAAAUUUCAGAAAUCUAGAGACCCUGUUUAUGGUUUGAAAGACACAAUAUUAAGAUGUCAAUUCUCCCCACACUGAUCUAUAAAUUCAAUCAAAUCUCAGUCAAAAUCCUAGCAGACCUCUGGGUAGAAAAUGACAAGCUGAUUCUAAAAUUCAUAUGGGAUAGUCAAAACAACUCUGGAAAAAGUACCAAAGAAGAACAAAGUUGGAAGGCUAAUGAAGAAUUAUUACAGAACUACUAUAAUCAAAACACUGUAUUUGGCAUAAAAAGAGACAAUGGAUCACUUGAACAAAAUAGAAUCUCAAACAGAACCAGUCUUGGGUGAACAAGUGAUUUUCAAGAAACUGCAGAGGUAGUACAGUAAAAAGAGCCUUUUCAACAAAUGGUACUG
rnacentral:lncRNA from 1 species